CCUACGGGAGGCAGCAGUGGGGAAUAUUGGACAAUGGGGGCAACCCUGAUCCAGCCAUGCCGCGUGUGUGAAGAAGGCCCUCGGGUUGUAAAGCACUUUCAGUGAGGAAGAACGCCUGGUGGUUAAUACCCAUCAGGAAAGACAUCACUCACAGAAGAAGCACCGGCUAACUCCGUGCCAGCAGCCGCGGUAAUACGGAGGGUGCGAGCGUUAAUCGGAAUUACUGGGCGUAAAGCGCGCGUAGGUGGCUUGAUAAGCCGGUUGUGAAAGCCCCGGGCUCAACCUGGGAACGGCAUCCGGAACUGGCAAGCUAGAGUGCAGGAGAGGAAGGUAGAAUUCCCGGUGUAGCGGUGAAAUGCGUAGAGAUCGGGAGGAAUACCAGUGGCGAAGGCGGCCUUCUGGACUGACACUGACACUGAGGUGCGAAAGCGUGGGUAGCAAACAGGAUUAGAUACCCCGGUAGUC
rnacentral:rRNA from 1 species